GGAACCUGUACGCGUUGCGGUGCAACGAUAGUCAAA
rnacentral:ncRNA from 1 species